rnacentral:tRNA from 1 species
AAUCCGUCGACUUUAAAAAUCGNGAGGGUUCAAGUCCCUCUA